GCGGCAUGCCUUACACAUGCAAGCCUAACGGCAGCACGGGUGCUUGCACCUGGUGGCGAGUGGCGAACGGGUGAGUAAUACAUCGGAACAUGUCCUGUAGUGGGGGAUAGCCCGGCGAAAGCCGGAUUAAUACCGCAUACGAUCUACGGAUGAAAGCGGGGGACCUUCGGGCCUCGCGCUAUAGGGUUGGCCGAUGGCUGAUUAGCUAGUUGGUGGGGUAAAGGCCUACCAAGGCGACGAUCAGUAGCUGGUCUGAGAGGACGACCAGCCACACUGGGACUGAGACACGGCCCAGACUCCUACGGGAGGCAGCAGUGGGGAAUUUUGGACAAUGGGCGAAAGCCUGAUCCAGCAAUGCCGCGUGUGUGAAGAAGGCCUUCGGGUUGUAAAGCACUUUUGUCCGGAAAGAAAUCCUUGGCUCUAAUACAGUCGGGGGAUGACGGUACCGGAAGAAUAAGCACCGGCUAACUACGUGCCAGCAGCCGCGGUAAUACGUAGGGUACGAGCGUUAAUCGGAAUUACUGGGCGUAAAGCGUGCGCAGGCGGUUUGCUAAGACCGAUGUGAAAUCCCCGGGCUCAACCUGGGAACUGCAUUGGUGACUGGCAGGCUAGAGUAUGGCAGAGGGGGGUAGAAUUCCACGUGUAGCAGUGAAAUGCGUAGAGAUGUGGAGGAAUACCGAUGGCGAAGGCAGCCCCCUGGGCCAAUACUGACGCUCAUGCACGAAAGCGUGGGGGAGCAAACAGGAUUAGAUACCCUGGUAGUCCACGCCCUAAACGAUGUCAACUAGUUGUUGGGGAUUCAUUUCCUUAGUAACGUAGCUAACGCGUGAAGUUGACCGCCUGGGGAGUACGGUCGCAAGAUUAAAACUCAAAGGAAUUGACGGGGACCCGCACAAGCGGUGGAUGAUGUGGAUUAAUUCGAUGCAACGCGAAAAACCUUACCUACCCUUGACAUGGUCGGAAUCCCGCUGAGAGGUGGGAGUGCUCGAAAGAGAACCGGCGCACAGGUGCUGCAUGGCUGUCGUCAGCUCGUGUCGUGAGAUGUUGGGUUAAGUCCCGCAACGAGCGCAACCCUUGUCCUUAGUUGCUACGCAAGAGCACUCUAAGGAGACUGCCGGUGACAAACCGGAGGAAGGUGGGGAUGACGUCAAGUCCUCAUGGCCCUUAUGGGUAGGGCUUCACACGUCAUACAAUGGUCGGAACAGAGGGUUGCCAACCCGCGAGGGGGAGCUAAUCCCAGAAAACCGAUCGUAGUCCGGAUUGCACUCUGCAACUCGAGUGCAUGAAGCUGGAAUCGCUAGUAAUCGCGGAUCAGCAUGCCGCGGUGAAUACGUUCCCGGGUCUUGUACACACCGCCCGUCACACCAUGGGAGUGGGUUUUACCAGAAGUGGCUAGUCUAACCGCAAGGAGGACGGUCACCACGGUAGGAUUCAUGACAGG
rnacentral:rRNA from 1 species